rnacentral:rRNA from 1 species
CCUACGGGAGGCUGCAGUGGGGAAUAUUGGACAAUGGGCGAAAGCCUGAUCCAGCCAUGCCGCGUGUGUGAAGAAGGCCUUCGGGUUGUAAAGCACUUUCAGUGGGGGAGAAAGCCUUGGGGCUAAUACCCUCGAGGAAGGACAUCACCCACAGAAGAAGCACCGGCUAACUCCGUGCCAGCAGCCGCGGUAAUACGGAGGGUGCGAGCGUUAAUCGGAAUUACUGGGCGUAAAGCGCGCGUAGGCGGUCUGAUAAGCCGGUUGUGAAAGCCCCGGGCUCAACCUGGGAACGGCAUCCGGAACUGUCAGGCUAGAGUGCAGGAGAGGAAGGUAGAAUUCCCGGUGUAGCGGUGAAAUGCGUAGAGAUCGGGAGGAAUACCAGUGGCGAAGGCGGCCUUCUGGACUUACACUGACGCUGAGGUGCGAAAGCGUGGGUAGCAAACAGGAUUAGAUACCCUGGUAGUC